UACGUAGGGUGCGAGCGUUGUCCGGAAUUAUUGGGCGUAAAGGGCUCGUAGGCGGUUUGUCGCGUCGGGAGUGAAAACACCGGGCUUAACUCGGUGCUUGCUUUCGAUACGGGCAGACUAGAGGCAUGCAGGGGAGAACGGAAUUCCUGGUGUAGCGGUGAAAUGCGCAGAUAUCAGGAGGAACACCGGUGGCGAAGGCGGAUCUCUGGGCCAUUACUGACGCUGAGACGCGAAAGCGUGGGGAGCAAACAGG
rnacentral:rRNA from 1 species